rnacentral:rRNA from 1 species
UACGUAGGAGGCAAGCGUUUGUCCGGGAAUUACUGGGCGUAAAGCGCGUGUAGGUGGUGGGACAAGUCUGCUGUGAAAGCGCCUGGCUUAACCGGGCGAGGUCGGCGGAAACUGCCUCACUUGAGGACGGUAGAGGGGGGUGGAAUUCCCGGUGUAGUGGUGAAAUGCGUAGAGAUCGGGAGGAACACCUGUGGCGAAGGCGGCCCCCCUGGGCCGGCCCCUGACACUGAGACGCGAAGGCGUGGGGAGCGAACGGG